rnacentral:lncRNA from 1 species
UACAAUUUUUGCUUGAAAAAGAAAGAGAAAAACUCAAAACAUUGGAAUAUAAUAAGGCAAUUACAACAUUCUUUUGGUGUCAAUGAGAAAGAAUUCCCAAGUCCUACGAUCCUUAGGGAUAGUUUGGGACACAAUAUCCCACCACAAUUAUGCCUCCUCCUACAACAAAAAGAAGGCACAUAUAAGGCUUUUUUCUACUAAACACUGUAGCUACAGUAGAAUUCUUCCCGUCGUCAUCAACCAAUUUUCUGCAAAAGUGGUUGAAAGCAAGACAAUUUACCUAAAUUACAUAGCAAAAGAAAAAAAUGCAUUUUGGGCAAAUAAACCAUAUAAAAAUUUUUGCUCUUAAUUAACUAUGGUCAUGCUCAAUGCAAAUUUCUUUGAGAUUAAUCAAUUAUCAAGCAACAAUAAAUAACUAUCAAUACAACACUUGUGAUUUUUUAAGGAUUAAACCUAUUAGUAUAUUAUGAGAGGUUUAAUUAAAACUAUCCUAAAGUAAGAUUUAACAUUACCUCUUGUAGAUUCUCUAAAUGGAAUGCAAGGACUUCCAAAUAUAAGCCCUCCAAAGAUAGUCCACACAACCAAUCUUCAACAACUUAGAGAGUGUAGAUAAGUCUUCCAUCAUCUCCUUGCUAGGCCAAGUGCUUCUUAAAUAUAGUGGAAUUAUUUUCUAAACACAAGGUCAAUCAAAAAUAAAAUUUUACACCUAACUAUAUUUUUCUUUGAGAGCUUCAAUGGAGGAAGAAAGAAAUUUCCUGUUCUUGGAUUUUUCUAGCCGUCCAACUCAUGUAAAGGAGAAGAAGAUUACUUCUUCCUUUUGUCUUCUCUUCA